UAGCCGUAAACGAUACUCGCUAGGUGUCGGCCACGGUGCGACCGUUGUCGGUGCCGUAGGGAAGCCGUGAAGCGAGCCACCUGGGAAGUACGGCCGCAAGGCUGAAACUUAAAGGAAUUGGCGGGGGAGCACCACAACGGGCGGAGCCUGCGGUUUAAUUGGACUCAACGCCGGGAAGCUCACCGGAUAAGACAGCGGAAUGAUUGCCGGGCUGAAGACCCUGCAUGACCAGCUGAGAGGAGGUGCAUGGCGUAGUCGUGU
rnacentral:rRNA from 1 species